rnacentral:lncRNA from 1 species
GGGAAAAUAAAUACAAUGAAAUACAUUGAAGAAUGGAAUAAGGAGUUACACAAUGGUGCAUUCACUAUAGUAAUUAUAUUCAUAACAUAAUGAAUUUUUUUUACAAAUAGACAAAUAAAAGAUCACAAGGUGCCUCUUCUUCGAUUAAAACUCGAUCAUAUUUACAAUUCUAUGACUAAUUUAGUAAUUCUACCGAAAAGUUAAAUUACUAUUUAAUUAAUUUUUCCUCCAAAAGAAUACACUCUUAAUCAUUCGGUGUUCCCGCACCGGACCUUCCGCUUCCAACGGUGGCAUACUAACAACAACGACAUCUUCCACCGAAGCCACAACGGCCGGAGUAACAACUUCACCGACGGCAGAAACCUUCCGGCGGGGCUCGAUGAGGCAGUGGGGGGGAGGUAGGGGUGGCGGCAAGUAGGGCAGGAAGAGUGGGACCCAAGCCACUGAUCAAUACACUUGACGUGGAAUCCGUGGUUACACGUCGGCAGGACCUUGAUCAAGUCGCCGGCGGCAAACUCCAACAAGCAGAUGACACACUCAGCAUCCAAAUUCAACCCCUCAUCAGACUCGGAGAAGGUGACGACGGGGAAAGUCUUGAGGGCCUUCUUUUUAAUUCCGGUAUUUGCUAACUUCGCCGUCGCCGGAGCUCCGGCGCCGGCGGAUGUGGGUUCGGAGUAGAAGCAUCUCAAUGCGCAGCGGACUAUCGAGUUGAGGAUUAGAGACACGAUCAAGGCACAGAGGAGGACGGAGACCACCAUCACCACCUUGGCAUCGGAUUUGCUUUCUGGCUCGGCGAGGGGAGGAGGGGAGGAGUUGAGGAGGAGUCUUCUGCCGGCGAUGGUGGGGGUUUGGAGUAAGAUCAUGUGAUUAGUGGCUGAAUCCAUAUUAUUGGCCGAGUUAAGAUCAGGUUAGGGUUUAUUAAUUGGUCUCUUUUGGUAAAGAUGUAAAUAAGAUGAGUGUUUGUUUUGAUGGAACUUGUUUGUGAUUUUGGAGUGUUUAGGGAGUUGAUAUAUAUAGGAAUUGGAAGUGGGGGGAGAUGUGAGUUUGGAUAAAGUUGUACUUUUUUAGUUGUUAUGAGAAUACUUGUUAUUAUUUUUCAUCAUCAUCUCAAGAAUACGAAUUUUUUUUGAGAAAGUUUAGAUUGGAUUUUAUAGUAUUUAUUAACAUACUCUUUUAAUUAAAAGAUUUGUAAAAUUUCGGUAAGUUAUGUAUAAGGAUUGUGAGGCUAUUAAUUGGGAUUCGAAGCGGAGAUAUUUUGAUCUUAUAAGAUUCCGUUACCAUGUCAUGAAUUAUUGUAUCCUAAUAACUUGAACUAUUAAAAAAGGGUUUACAUCAAGUUUUAUAUUAUUCAUUAGCAUAUUCUAUUACGAUGGAUUGUCAAGUUAUAAGAUUAUGAUCGUGUUUCAGAUAUAAAUUAUUCUACAAAACAUCAACAACUCGAUUAAUUACUUUUCGAUAAUCACUUGGUACGGAUAACUCCAAAUAGGUCAAAGGUGGGUAGGGAAGGAAAUUAGUUCUAAGUUGGUAAGUCAAGGAUGGAACCAUAAGCUUGAUCUUUUCAAAGGAGCUUUUUAGACUUUUUGAGCAUAACCCACAAAGAGGAUGGUGGGUAAGCUGGCAAAGGAGUUAUCUUAUCCCUUUCUGUGAAGGGAAUCAAACCCACAUGGAUUCUCCCACUUUUGAAUUGCACUUUAUAUAUUUGGUGUCAGAUUGUGAGUUAUCUUAAUCAAUAUUAUUGAAUUUUGUGUUGUAAAUGCUUUUAGCUAGGGUCCCAUGGCAUCACUCACAUUGGAAAAAUGGUUCAAUGGUUUUUCAUGAAGCUUCUUCCUAUGAGCAAAAUCCAUGAGCUUGAACACAUAUAGUUUGGGAGUGGUUUGGUAUAAUACACAUGUAUAUAAUACAACAUUUUAGUGUUGGUUGUUUAUAUAACACAUGUGUAUAUUGAUUAUUAAAAAAAAUAUGUUCCUAAAGUGUAAAAGUUCAAAUAGUAUUAAUAUCUCAUAUCGUAUAAACUUUUAGAAACCGAAAAUAACUUCUCUAUGCCAAUUAAUUAUAAAAUAAAAGAAAUAAAAAGCUCUAUAUUUUUGAAUGAACAAGCUUAACACCACUUGUCACUGAACAAACAAGCUAAGGCUAUAUAUCCCAUAUACAAAAUUCUAAACAAAUUCAUCUGAACUUCUUCUAUAUCAAACGACCCAUUACAGUUUCCUUUUUUUGAUCCUCAAAAGUUUGGUUUAGACAUAGUGGGGAGUAUUAUUUUCAACAUUUUUGGUGAGUACUAUGACAUGAUAGGAGCUUGGAAGAGGGAGUGUUUUUGAAAUGUAGAAUUAUAUAUUGUUUGUUUAAUUAACUUAAUGGCAUUGCACUUUAGGAAAAGGAGGGGAUGUUCAUUCAUUCCACACUAAAAUCGAGUCACACUCAACUUAUAAUGGGAAAAAGGUCAUUUGGAGAUAAGUCUUGUUGAGCUAUAGUUCACCUACAGCUAAAGUGUGUAGUGACUGAGUCACUAGUUUUGGCUUUUUACUUACCUUCAUUCGCCACCAACACAAACUACUAUAGCUCCUCUAGAAGAAAUUCAUGCCUCGGUGUCGGUUAAUCUGCCUACUUAGCAUCGAAUAGCAGCCGUAGCGAGGCUAUAGUAAACAUUCUUGAAUAAAAUGACUAGACGAACAACGGUGAAACUUUAAUGGUAAUUUAAUGCAUUUUUUUAUGAGAUUAAUAUCAUAAAAUUUAUAUAAUUUUAAAUAUCUAAACCUGAACGAAGAUUGCCUCGUGAUUAUAAAUAAGAUUAUACCUUAGAAUAGAAGAGUCCUCAAUUUGUCCUUCAAAUUUGAUCAAUUAAUUAUAAGCUAUAUAUAAACCCAUAAUAAAAAUGUGAUAAAUUAAGUUGAAACUACACUCGCAAAUUGGAGAGUGGCUGGCUGUACAACACUCCAAAGUACACAACAGUGUACCAAAAGAUUCUUAAAUAUUUCAUAAUGGAUUUAGUACUAAGUUGGUUUAUUUUAAUGUUUGGCAAUGUUUAAGGUUUCAUACAUGUUGGCUGUUGGGCACAUAAAAUUAAUUAAAACACCCAACAUCUCAUUAACAAUUGUUGCUUUCCCCCACUCCUAUCCUACACCUUAUCUGUAUUAAUCACGCUAGUAAAAAACUAUACCAUCUUGGCCAAUUGGUUGAACCGGAUAUGAAUGUACACAUGGUGACAUCAUGUUUAUUGAGCUUCAUUAGAGUGAUCGGUGUGUGCACGCACAAAAAUAACUGAGUUUUUCUAUGGAUACAUACCACCUCUAUGUCUCAUUUUAUUCUGAUUAAUACAUAAACACUUUGCUCUUAUUUUUAUGAAAAAAUAAGUUUAAAAUAUCUGUUGAAAUACCAUUUAACCUCUUACAAUUAGAGUUUUUUUUUAUUAGAUCGUUGUUUAAUUAUUCAAUCAUUGUUGGCUAGGAACCUAUUGAGUUGAUUAAUCAAUGUAAUUGAAGUAUGGGAAAGGUUAAUUGCCCCCCAAGUAGGCUUACAAGCUAAGACGAUAAUUGCCAUCAAUUAGUGUACAGAGUUGGUGCUUUUGCCUUUGUAGUCUCUAAAUUAUUAGAUAUUUAUUAGCAAAAAAGGAGCAUGUAACUGACUUGUCGUUGGUUAAAGACUUAAAGCAGUAUAUUUUGUUUCUAAGAAAUCUUUGAGAGAUAGAGAAAUCUAUGUGUGGGGNNNNNNNNNNNNNNNNNNNNNNNNNGGGGAAAUAUAAAUAUAAAAAGGUCAAGUUGGGACUUUGGUGGAAAAUGUUGAAACUAGAGGCCUCAAAACAGUAAUUUAUAAGGAAAAGCGGAUGAGAACAGUAAAAAGGAACAAUUGGUGGUUGCUUGUCUUGUGAAAUGAUAGUACUAAUGAUGAUUAAUCAUUAGUGGUGAUGCUAAUUGUGGUUUAAAAUGGUGAAAUUACAUAAAAACAAAAACAAAAACCUUAAUUUAAAUCAUACCGGUAUGAAUUAUAUUUUACAAGAAAAUACGGUUUGAGAAACCAUAAGUUUGCUACUAUUUUAUAAAACGGUUAUUAAAAGUCAUUGGUGACCAUUUUGGCUUAAUAAACAAGCCACUAACCUACUAAUCAAUAAAAAUGUAUUUUUUAGUGCAAUUGUAUUGCAAAAUAUGCACUUCAGAGGCCUAAUUUUAGGGGUUGGAGGCAUCGUUAAGGGCGAGUGAUUGACCGUGAUAAGUACACAACAGUUUGAAAUCAAAUAAAAAGUUUAGGUCGGUUUUUGGAGAAGAAUUAUCACUUUUANNNNNNNNNNNNNNNNNNNNNNNNNNNNNNNNNNNNNNNNNNNNNNNNNNNNNNNNNNNNNNNNNNNNNNNNNAUGAUUCGUGACAUAAAUUUCAAGACACUAUAUAUAUAAGGUGAUAAUAUAUAAUAUCAUACAUUUAGAAAUAUUGAAUAUUGUGCCGACUACCUUAUACAGCUAACUGUUCCGAAAGAAUUGAUGAUAUAAUUAUUUUUUUUUUUUUAUUAUAUUGGGAAAUAGAUCAUGAAUGGAUAAUUGUAUAUUUGUAUGUGUAAAACAAACAAACUGUGAGUUAUAUCCACUUUUGAGUAAAAAGAUACUUAUUUAAGAUACGAAGAAGUAUGAGUUUCCACACAUACCUUGACCAUCUAGCAUCGAUUGUUAACCAUGUCUAGUAACGGUUCGAAGACCUUUGCGGCAUAAUUUGGCUUGGUGUUGUCAAUAUAUAUUUAAACAACUUGGAUCGAAUCCGAUGAUAUGAGUUAUAUUUUUUCCUACAAAUUUUAUGAAGAACUUAACCAAUCCACAACGAAUGAUAUGACCAAAGACUAAGUUGAAAUGAGUAUUUUAUAAUUUUGUGUAGAAAUAUUUGUACAAAGGAGUUAUCCAACAUCUCAUAUUUACAAUUCCACGUAAGCAAUUAACUUAAUUUAACAAUUCUACCGAAAAUUGAAUAAUUAAUAAUCAACUCUUCAAGUUUUCCUCCAAAAGAACACACUCUUGACGAUUCUGUGUUCCCUCACCGGGCCUUCAGCUUCCAUCGGCGGCAUAGUAAUAACAACAUCUUCUGCCGGUGCCAAAGCUGACGUCAACUGAGCAGCAUUAGAAGAAGAAGGAAUAUUGUCGCCGGAAACUGCCGUCACAGGAGCCGGAGUGACAUCCCCGUCGACAAUUUUCCGGCAAGUCUCGAUGAGGCAGUGGCGGCAAGUGGGGCAAGAAGAGUGGGACCCAAGCCACUUGUCGAUACAUCUCACGUGGAAGCCGUGGUUACACUUGGGAAGGAUCUUGACACGGUCGCCGGCGGUGA